rnacentral:rRNA from 1 species
UACGUAGGGUGCAAGCGUUGUCCGGAAUUAUUGGGCGUAAAGAGCUCGUAGGCGGUUUGUCGCGUCUGCUGUGAAAACGCGAGGCUCAACCUCGCGCCUGCAGUGGGUACGGGCAGACUAGAGUGCGGUAGGGGAGAUUGGAAUUCCUGGUGUAGCGGUGGAAUGCGCAGAUAUCAGGAGGAACACCGAUGGCGAAGGCAGAUCUCUGGGCCGUUACUGGACGCUGAGGAGCGAAAGCGUGGGGAGCGAACAGG